UUCGUCACUCGAACUCAUCGCCUCCUUGGCUUCUUCGGCAUCGACUUCGUCCAGUCCUUCAUCUCACUCGCCUCACCAAAUUUGUCGACUACGAUCCCGCAUUUUGCUCCGAGGAGGACGAGGAUAUCAUCCAGGCAGUUCUAAACGGCACCGUUCCUUCUUACUCUCUCGAAUCGAAGUUUGGAGUUUGGGAGGAAGGAUUCAAUUACGACGCCGGUCGGAGACGAAGUCUAGCUUGGGUACGCCGUUCUCUGUACGCCAGAUCUAGUUUAAGAAGCGCGAGUUUGUGUGUGUCUUCAAUAUUAACUAAUUUGUCAAGUCCAGUUGGGUUAGACGGUCUCGAUAAAAAGAAGUUUGAUGGGUCUAGGCCAUCUGCAACGUUCAUUAUCGGGUUAAGGCGAGUACCCAUAAGCUGUGAUGUUCGUUUCCAACCCUGUAUUGAUAUACACAAGGUAUUGGAGAUUCAAGGUUCAAAUCUUUUGGGACUUAAAACUCUGUUUGUGUAUUGUUGCAUUUGUGUGAUUGUUUUGUGGGUUUCUAUGGGUUCUUUCAUUUUCUGAGGAACCAAAUAGAAGGUUUGGUAUAUGGUGUUAAAUUGAUUAUCCUGGUCUUUUGUUUAUUUCUCUUUCUUGGUUUUCUCUGCAACCAAACAGAUGUGCAACUAAGUAGCCUUAGAAUUGCCAUUUGGGCCUCUCUGUCUUUAUUCUGGGUUUUGUUUAAAGUUAUGGUAUUUGGAUGGAAAUUGAGGGUUUCAGAUUUCUGGGUUUUCAAUUGUUUUGUUUUUUCGUGAAAUUGGGUUUUGGGUUUGGUCUGUUUGAUCCCGAUUGUGGAAAAUGAGAAGAAGGGUUUGGUUUUUGUGUGCUUUGGUUUUUACUGGGUGUUUUCUUUGUGUUAGUUUUGGAAAUCUCAGUAUUUAGUUGCGUUCUUCUGCAUCUCGCUCUUCCACACACGGACACUGACUCUA